AUGUAGGGCUCUGAAAAAGUAGCGUUUGGCUGCGGUGAAAACCGUGCUGAAACUUUAACUUCACCCUUCUGUCCAUGUGAGGCGUAGCGCGAGCCGCUCGGUACUGCCGAACUCACCAUCCAUCUCACCAUGAUUGAGAAGAACGGGACCACAGCGCGUAACUUCUUGUACGAGCAGCACGAGGUGCCCGGACAGCGGCGCGGUGGCCAAGUGGGGGGGGGGGGGGAUCAUGGUGCUACUCGCUGCGGAGGAUCACCUGGCCGCGCGCGCGGGUCCGUGCUGGAUCCACGAGCGGGACGAAGCACCGACCUCGUGGGACCGCCGCCUCUCUCUGCGCUUCGGAGCAGCGGAGCCUCUGACUCGGAGCGCGCGCGAGCAGGAUGUCUGGGAAGGCUGAAGCUGCUUGUCCCAAGGGGGGUCGCAGCAAACCGGAGCCUAACCCGGCAACGCAGGGCGCAAGGCCGGAGGGGGAGGGGGACACACCCCGGACGGGACGCCGGUCCAUCGCAAGGCACCCCAAGCGGGACUCGAACCCCAGACCCACCGGAGAGCUGGACCCGGCCAAACCCGCCGUGCCCCCUUCCCCUUUUAUAUACGCCCAUUUUUUAAAUUUUGUGUUCUAUCAUAGGCGAUGCCAUUUUGUACUUGUCCACUUGUCCAUUUUGUUUCGUUCACAUGCACUUUAAAGGUUAACCUCAGCACUCGUUGGGAGCAAUAAAAAAAGAACCAAAUGUUCA
rnacentral:lncRNA from 1 species